UGCCAGCCGCCGCGGUAAUACAGAGGCCUCAAGCAUUAUCCGGAUUCACUGGGCGUAAAGGGUGCGUAGGUGGUUAUAUUAGUCAGGUGUUAAAUCCUCGGGCUCAACCCGAGAAUCGCAUUUGAAACGGUAUAACUAGAGGAAGUUAGAGGUAAGCAGAACUCUCGGUGUAGGGGUGAAAUCCGUUGAUAUCGAGGGGAAUACCAAAUGCGAAGGCAGCUUACUGGGACUUUCCUGACACUGAGGCACGAAAGCGUGGGUAGCGAACGGGAUUAGAUA
rnacentral:rRNA from 1 species